rnacentral:miRNA from 1 species
AAUUCUAUUUCAGAACCAUCCUCAGAGAUACGAAAAACUAGUUUCAUAUUAAUCUGACACUGCAAUCGAGCAACGAAAAAUUUGUAUCUCUGAGGAUGGUUCUGAAAUAGAAUU